rnacentral:lncRNA from 1 species
UAUAGGAUAUUCUCAAUCUGCAUUGAGAAUAUCGUAUUGGUGCAUUAGACAAAGCCUUUUAUGGUUGUUUCUCGCCAUACUGGCUAGGGACGAGCCAUUGGUUGAUUCUGUCCAAUGGUUAUGUGUAUUUGGUGUCACGUGGUCGUGAGUCAGGUCCGUGCAGCGCUGAGUGUGGACAGUGACACAACACGUUACAUACUUACGACUUGCAGUUGCCUUUUCCUUUUCCUGAGCCUUUCGUUAUCUUCAGACUUCCUUUUGGCACUUACAGGAUGAAGCCCACGUACAUGUAAUAGUGUUAUCAUCCUAUACGGUUCAUCGCCCACAGCGAAGAACCACGCGUAUGGUGUGAUCGAGAGAAUAAACCCUCGAACCCU